rnacentral:rRNA from 1 species
GUGUAAUCCCCGAGCUCAACUUGGGAACUGCAUCUGAGACUGGAAGGCUAGAGUACUGGAGAGGGUGGUGGAAUUCCUCGUGUAGCGGUGAAAUGCGUAGAGAUGAGGAGGAACACCAGUGGCGAAGGCGGCCACCUGGACAGUAACUGACGCUGAGGCGCGAGAGUGUGGGUAGCAAACAGGAUUAGAUACCCUGGUAGUCCACGCUGUAAACGAUGAACACUUGGUGUGGAGGGAGUUGACCCCUUCCGUGCCGGAGCUAACGCGUUAAGUGUUCCGCCUGGGGAGUACGGUCGCAAGGCUGAAACUCCAAGGGAAUUGACGGGGGGCCCGCACAAGCGGUGGAGCAUGUGGGUUUAAUUCGACGGCAACGCGAAAGAACCUUACCUGGGCUUGAACUGGUAUGGACCGGUGCAGAGAUGUGCCUUUUCGCAAGAACUGUAGCAGAGGUGCUGCAUGGCUGUCGUCAGCUCGUGUCGUGAGAUGUUGGGUUAAGUCCCGCAACGAGCGCAACCCUUACCCGUAGUUGCCAGCGCGUCAUGGCGGGAACUCUACGGGGACUGCCCGGGUUAACCGGGAGGAAGGUGGGGAUGAUGUCAAGUCCUCAUGGCCCUUAUGUCCAGGGCUACACACGUGCUACAAUGGGCGAUACAAACCGUUGCAAAGUCGCGAGAUGGAGCUAAUCGGAGAAAGUCGUCCUCAGUUCGGAUUGUAGUCUGCAACUCG